rnacentral:rRNA from 1 species
AUUGAACGCUGGCGGCAGGCCUAACACAUGCAAGUCGAACGAGUGGCGGACGGGUGAGUAAUGUCUGGGAAACUGCCUGAUGGAGGGGGAUAACUACUGGAAACGGUAGCUAAUCCCGCAUACCAUCGGAUGUGCCCAGAGUGGAUUAGCUAGUAGGCGGGGUAACGGCUCACCUAGGCGACGAUCCCUAGCUGGUCUGAGAGGAUGACGGGCCACACGGGAACUGGGACACGGUCCAGACUCCAACGGGAGGCAGCAGUGGGGAAUAUGGGAAAAUGAGCGCAAGCCUGAGGCAGCCAGGCGGGGUGUAUGAAGAGGGCCUUCGGGUUGUAAGGUACGUUCAGCGGGGAGGCGUUACCCGCAGAAGAAGCACCGGCUAACUCCGUGCCAGCAGCCGCGGUAAUAC